rnacentral:miRNA from 1 species
GUCCGGCCGGUUACAGGAAACAGAAACUCCGCGCGGAACAGGAGCUUCUGUUUCCUGUAACCGGCCGGAC